UAACACGUGGGUAACCUGCCCUGAUGAUUGGGACAACCCGAGGAAACUCGGGCUAAUACCGAAUGUGCCCUCCGGCCAUAAGGCUACUGGGGAAAGGAAGCUUCGGCCUCCGCAUCGGGAUGGGCCCGCGGCCCAUUAGCUUGUUGGUGAGGUAACGGCUCACCAAGGCAAUGAUGGGUAGCUGGUCUGAGAGGACGAUCAGCCACACUGGGACUGAGACACGGCCCAG
rnacentral:rRNA from 1 species